rnacentral:rRNA from 1 species
UACAGAGGGGGCAAGCGUUAUUCGGAAUCACUGGGCGUAAAGCGCACGUAGGCGGAUUGCUAAGUCAGGGGUGAAAUCCCUAGGCUCAACCUAGGAACUGCGUCCGAUACUGGCAGGCUUGAAUCCGGGAGAGGGAUGCGGAAUUCCAGGUGUAGCGGUGAAAUGCGUAGAUAUCUGGAGGAACACCGGUGGCGAAGGCGGCAUCCUGGACCGGCAUUGACGCUGAGGCGCGGAAAGCCAGGGGAGCAAAGCGGG